rnacentral:rRNA from 1 species
AUCUAUAGCCAUACCACCCUGCAAACACUCGAAUUUGUCUAAUCUCGGAAGCUAAGCAGGGUUAGCCCAGUUAGUACUUGGAUGGGAGAUUUUGCUUAGUGUC